CCUACGGGAGGCAGCAGUGAGGAAUAUUGGUCAAUGGACGCAAGUCUGAACCAGCCAUGCAGCGUGCAGGAUGACUGCCCUAUGAGUUGUAAACUUCUUUUGUACGAGGGUAAACGCAGACACGCGUACCUGUUUGAAUGUAUCUUAUGAAUAAGGAUCGGCUAACUCCGUGCCAGCAGCCGCGGUAAUACGGAGGAUCCGAGCGUUAUCCGGAUUUAUUGGGUUUAAAGGGUGCGUAGGCGGUCGGUUAAGUUAGUGGUGAAAUCCUGAGGCUCAACUUCGGAAUUGCCUUUGAUACUGUUCGGCUAGAGAGUAGUUGAGGUAGGCGGAAUGUAUGGUGUAGCGGUGAAAUGCUUAGAGAUCAUACAGAACACCGAUUGCGAAGGCAGCUUACCAAGCUACUUCUGACAUUGAGGCACGAAAGCGUGGGGAGCAAACAGGAUUAGAUACCCCAGUAGUC
rnacentral:rRNA from 1 species